rnacentral:piRNA from 1 species
UAAUCUGCCUCAUGGCCAAAGCCAAUCC